rnacentral:ncRNA from 1 species
UAAUUGCUUACAGAGCUUUCUCAAUUAAAAGUCCAGUGUUGUGACUGCUUAAAAAAUCAGAUCCCCGGCUGAGGAGCCAAUGGGGCGAAGCUAUCAUCUGUGGGAUUAUGACUGAAGGCCUCUAAGUCAGAAUCCCGCUCAGGCAGAACAAUACGGCAGCCCCGCGGGGCCUCAGAGCCUCGGUUGGCCUUGGAGCCUUGGUUGGCCUUGGAUGGCCUCAGAUGGCCUCGGAGCCUCGGAUAGCCGGUCCCCCGCCUGUCCCCGCCGGCUGGCCGCCCCACCCCACGCCGGGACCAGUGUCCGGUGCGGAGUGCCCUUUGUCCUGGGAAACGGGGCGCGGCCAGAAAGGCGGCCGCCCCCUUGCCCCUCACACAGCGCACGUUCGUGGGGAACCUGGCGCUAAACCAUUCGUAGACGACCUGCUUCUGGGUCGGGGUUUCGUAGGUAGCAGAGCAGCUCCCUCGCUGCGAUCUAUUGAAAGUCAGCUCUCCACACAAGGGUUU